AGAACGAACGCUGGCGGCAGGCUUAACACAUGCAAGUCGAACGAUGUAGCAAUACAUAGUGGCGCACGGGUGAGUAACACGUGGGAACAUGCCUUUCAGUUCGGGAUAACACCGGGAAACUGGUGCUAAUACCGAAUAUUCUCUCCGGAGGAAAGAUUUAUCGCUGAAAGAUUGGCCCGCGUUAGAUUAGGUAGUUGGUGGGGUAAUGGCCUACCAAGCCUACGAUCUAUAGCUGGUCUGAGAGGACGACCAGCCACACUGGAACUGAGACACGGUCCAGACUCCUACGGGAGGCAGCAGUGGGGAAUAUUGGACAAUGGGCGCAAGCCUGAUCCAGCCAUGCCGCGUGAGUGAUGAAGGCCUUAGGGUUGUAAAGCUCUUUUGUCAGGGAAGAUAAUGACGGUACCUGAAGAAUAAGCACCGGCUAACUUCGUGCCAGCAGCCGC
rnacentral:rRNA from 1 species